CCAGCCGUGCAUUUACUGAACCGCACGCACACGCGUCCAUCUACGCAGCGCACUGCUCAUUUGACCCGUGCAGCCGUGCCCCUCCUCUUCCUUUCGUUCCCAUCCAUUUCUUCCCUCUCCCUCUCUCCAUCCCGACAACAAUCGUCCCGUGCCCUGCCGAUCUCGCCGACAGGAGGCCCUCACCGCCGGCGACACUCAUCGACCCUCCCUUUCUCAAGCCGCCUGCCCCCACGCCUUCGCUCUGGGUGUGAUGGAGCCGGCCAUCGACACCUACUUCCGCAGCGCGGAUCUGGACUGCGUCGACCGGAUCAGCGACCAGGAGGUCAUUGCCUUCUUCAAGAGCUCCGGCCUGCCGCAACCCGUCCUCACACAGGUGACCCGCUCGGGGUGCGAUGGAGGCAGCCACAACGCCUACUUCCUGUCGUGCAGGCGCCCAUCGAUCUAAGCGAUUUUUACUCAGAGGGGAGUGUAGCUCGUGCAGAUCGUGCUCGCCGAGGCAGAGGUCGCCGCUUUCACAUCGGCGUCGCCGCACCUCGCUCCCUGAUCUGUCUCCCUGCGAGCCCAUGACCUACCACCUACUGACGCCCGACGUCUCAGAUCUCGUGCAGAGAAUCCCGACGGCUCCGCGCCAGAGCGCACGCUCUUCGGCUUCAAGGACCUGGCCCUCGAGGACGAGCACGCCUCCGUGAGCGACGAUGCUGCCAUGGCGCCAUUCUAGAACAGGAUCCCACCGCAUCACAUACAGGUAUCGGCAUCUGAUGCAGGACGUGUUGUCGCUGCUCCCGCACACGAAGAAGGACAACAAGGUCGAGUCAAAGCAGAGCAAGGGGAACGCUCUGAACGAGCUGCUCCAGCUGUCUUUCUUUUGAGGAUCAUUGCUUCACUUGUUUGUUGAUGAUGGAACAAUCUUUGCAAAAUCAAGGGAUGAUUCUGAGCCUCCUUUGGUUAUUACUUGGACGGAUUUGAAUAUGUAGCUAGUGCAGUAUUUAAACUCAAGGUAUCGUAGGUGAGUUUCUCCACAUGUAAAGCUUUCUUAUUAGAUAUAAAGUUCAGUUUGCAUUGGACACAAAAAAGAAUUACUUGUCGCUGUGUGUAUGUGUCUGAUGUGGAGUAUAAGUUAUUUAUCUUUCAUGUGUUGCUCUUGGAGGCUACAACUACUGUCAGCAUGUUUUUUUUAAUGUUUCUAUCAAUAUUGCUAUAGCUUAGCAGAGGCUGCAGCUGCUUGCUAUAUUUGGCUGUUGUGGCAUUAUGUGUAACACACCCCACUACUUAUGGUGCAUGGAGAUGGUGCCUUCCUCUGCAUGAAUGAAUUUGCAAGGCAUCCACAUGCUGACAGAUUUUUGUGUCUCGAGGUGUGAAGUUUUGUCGCCUUUGCAAGGUGUGAUGGUCUCAAGCAUCAACAUGGGAUCAAAUGAACAAAGAGAACCAUGUGUAGCAUCAUGGGAUGCAUGGUGCAACAGGAUGUAGAUAUGUUAACAAAACAAGGAGGUUUACUAAAGCAAGUUGUAAAUCUACAGGAGUAGUAGUACCUCACAUAUGCAUAUUAACUAGUAAGAACAACAUAUGAUAGUAAUAACAAUAGAUCUUUAGUAAGAGCAUAAUCUGAAUUGCUUAUCAGGUAACAGAAAAUAAUAUAUUACUACUAAGAACAAAUCUGCUUGGUUCUAUUUCUAAUCAUUGUGUAAUUUUUGGCAACAUGAAAUUCUGUGUAAUUAGCUUCUAUAUUUGUGUGUUUUGCUCAAAGGCUGAUGAUAUUUUGUUU